rnacentral:lncRNA from 1 species
UCAUUUAAUUAAACAUUUUUAUUUGAAAAACUUCAAAUACCACAUCGGUUGUUUCAUCCUUUUUCAUUUUAAUAUCCUAUGAUUUAAAGUGUAUCAAUUUAGUGUCAUGUGAUUUCAUUUUUAUCUUUUUAUUAUCGAUUCCAAAAAUUUUUUUGGUUAAAUCAGUUACAAAAUUAAAACUAAAGGGUAUUAAAGUGAAUAUUCGAUAAAUCUAGAUGAACUAUAUGAAGUUUUUUACAUAUAAUUUAAUAAAAUAUUAAUAAAAAAAAUUGAUGAAAAGAUAAAAAUGAAACAACAAGACACUAACUUGAUACACUUUAAACCACAGGAUAUGAGAUAUUUGAAGUGAAAAAGUGUGAAAGUGUAAAACUGCAGGAGUGGUAUUUGAAGUUUACCUUUUUAUUUUGUGUAGGAGGGUAAGAACAAAAU